rnacentral:tRNA from 1 species
GCGGGAAUAGCUCAGUGGUAGAGCACCACCUUGCCAAGGUGGGGGUCGCGAGUUCGAGUCUCGUUUCCCGCU